ACGCCUUUCUUUUUCACCGAGUGCUUGCACUCACUUGAAAGAAGAGUGGCGGACGGGUGAGUAACACGUGGGUAACCUGCCCAUCAGAGGGGGAUAACACUUGGAAACAGGUGCUAAUACCGCAUAAUAGUCGACACCGCAUGGUGUUGAUUUGAAAGACGCUUUCGGGUGUCACUGAUGGAUGGACCCGCGGUGCAUUAGCUAGUUGGUGAGGUAACGGCUCACCAAGGCCAUGAUGCAUAGCCGACCUGAGAGGGUGAUCGGCCACACUGGGACUGAGACACGGCCCAGACUCCUACGGGAGGCAGCAGUAGGGAAUCUUCGGCAAUGGACGAAAGUCUGACCGAGCAACGCCGCGUGAGUGAAGAAGGUUUUCGGAUCGUAAAACUCUGUUGUUAGAGAAGAACAAGUGGGAGAGUAACUGCUCCCGCCUUGACGGUAUCUAACCAGAAAGCCACGGCUAACUACGUGCCAGCAGCCGCGGUAAUACGUAGGUGGCAAGCGUUGUCCGGAUUUAUUGGGCGUAAAGCGAGCGCAGGCGGUUUCUUAAGUCUGAUGUGAAAGCCCCCGGCUCAACCGGGGAGGGUCAUUGGAAACUGGGAGACUUGAGUGCAGAAGAGGAGAGUGGAAUUCCAUGUGUAGCGGUGAAAUGCGUAGAUAUAUGGAGGAACACCAGUGGCGAAGGCGACUCUCUGGUCUGUAACUGACGCUGAGGCUCGAAAGCG
rnacentral:rRNA from 1 species